UGGCACUUUUUCUAAAAGUAAAUUCAACUGGUUUAGAUUAAUUUUUUCGGUUUUUCCAGCUGUUUUCAUAAUAAAUGGUAAAAACCGGGAAAAACAUAGGAAAAACCGGAAAAUGUAAGAAAUUUAUUAUUUUAAAAUCGUAAAUAUUACUGCCUUUCAAAACAUGUAUAACCGAACUCCGCUCAGAAUCGUUUUUCGUUAGCAAUCGUUGCUUACACAUAAAAUUCGCCCAUACAUUCCAUACUUUCCCAACUUCUCUGCACCCAUAACAGUGGCCCGCCCAUGUUGCGAAAUAUGUCCGUAUCUUUUUAGGUAUGACUACUCCGAUAUAAGUGAGUAAUGAGUGUGUGCCGUUGAUUUAACGCGUUUUUACGUACCGCGGAAUAAAAUAAAACUCGUAUAAAUGACUUAUAAUAAACGCUCAGAUCGAUUCGCAAAAAAAAAAAAACGCUUCGUCUUGACAUAGUCAAGAUAGACCGAUAUCGUCUAUCGGUUUAAUAUUUUUUGCGGGACCGUUUCCCUCUGAAAAUGCAGAGAUACCAUUUUCCUUGACUGUCCGUUUUCUUUCAAAAAGAGACAAUUUAUUUUAUUUUAUUUUGAUUACACAAUCGUAUCCGUUUUUUUUUUCCAAACAUUUAAUUCAAUUUGGCAACAGUCCUACAUUAAAAAGUCCCGAUUUCAGCCGGGAACGCGCGAGAUCCUUGGGCUAGGGUCUGGCUCGCCCUGCUCCAUGGACAUAGGACGGUCCGGAGUGCGAGAAUUUCAAAAAUCGGAUCAGCGGUUCCAGCGAUCAUACCACCAAUACACGUGCAACCACUUUACAAUAUUGAAAUAAUAUUAAGUGCAGAUUGGUAUACGAUAUUAAUUAUAAAGGAACGGAUUUACAUGUACUUAAAACCAACAAACAGACGGUUUAAAAAUACAUCAAAAAAGCAUUACUUAAAAAUAUCCGAAAGCAAACGCGAAAAGGGUUUAAAAUUUUUCCCCCUCUAAACGGAUCUAUAAUUUGUAUACCAUCUACGAAAAUGACUUAACACAAAGUGAGUUUUUUUUUUUUUUUUAAAAAAUUCGUAGUUAAAAAUAAUAUCUUUGUGUUAAUCAUUUUUGUAGUUGAAGAACAUGUGUUUAGAGCGGUCAACAAGGAAACUCAUACAUCCCUCUAUAAUUUUUACUUUUUAAAAUGUUUAUCAAGCGGUUUUUUUGUCGAUUUUAAUCGCGCGUACAAGUCCGUUCACCAAAUUAUUACCGUAUAGAAGGGUGACAAUUAAUAUUCGUGUUUCGGUAACGGAGGCUAAAUGCCAAUGCAACGGUGGCGGGCGGGGAAACGGCUUAUACUUAUCCCGUUUUCGUCGAGGAAAAUUAUUACCGUACGGACGAUAUUUUCUGCAACGGCGACCGGCUAUAAAUAUUACAACAACAAUGUAUAACAAUGUAUUAUAAUAUAACAUCGCAUAUUACUGUUCACCACGCAUGCAGCAGUGUAGUAGUUUACCCAUUAUUAUCAUUAUAAUGUGUGUUCGGAUAAUGUUUUUUUGUGUUUUUUUUUUUUUCUCGUCGACUUGUGUUGUGAUAAUAAUAUUAUAAUUGACUCACGUCCGUACGCUGUCAUUAAAAUUUUUUCGUAACGUUAUCGUACGGUUUAUACUGUCGGACCUCGACUACGGUUUAGUUUUCGAUACAAGCGCGUGUAUAUUUAUAUUUACGCGCAACAUUAUUGUAUAUCCGUGUAUUGUAUAAUAUUUAUCGUAUCCAAUCCGUUACCUCUGUCGAAUACCAUAAUAAUAUUAUCGUAGUUAUUUAUACGCCUAUAAACGUCGUAUUCGUAAUAUAUAUAUAUAUUUAUAUUUAUGUAGUCUGCGGCA